AUGCAGAGCCGGGUGCGUGUGGAGAUGCCUGUCUUCGUCUGUCUGCGGUGCCGGGCGAGCAUUGAUCAGAGGGUUUCUCACACACUGAGGAAUGACAAUCGUCCGUUCUAUGUGUGUAGUAAGAAUGGGGUGACAUGCUUCUUUCUUUGGGUCGAUGCUCUGGCCAAGACUCUGAUAAAUGAACUGCAAGAAGAGCAUGGCGAAUGGUUGCGCAUGCUGCCCCAAACCGCAGUGGCCGCAACACGAGCUCCGGAAGAAGAGAUGGAGGGCGAGGCACGCACUGACAGAGAGCUAGCUGUUGAGCUUAGGAUGUUGAAGAAGAAGGUUAGGAAGCUUGAAGAUCAAGCACUACCAAUACCCAUUUGUAAAUACUUUUGGGCAUUUGUAGGUAUGGUAAUCACACUGGUUGUAAUGUUGAAAAUGUAUGGAAAGGCAUGA
rnacentral:rRNA from 1 species